CGCCCACCGGAAGCCGCAGCGGCCACCGGAUUCCCCACCCCCAACCCGGCGACCCACCCACGGUAAGGGAAAGGAAGGGAAGGCAGAUAGCGGCGGAGGCGGCGGCUUAAAAGGGCCUCGAGCCCGUCCUGUACCCCCACCCCACCCCACCCCGAACCCUACCUCGCCGCCGUAUCUCUGAUCUGAAGAACCGGAGGAGCGCAGUGGAGUCCUAGUCCGUUCCCGCCUGCUCCCUUCUCCCCCCCGACCCCGCCGCGAUGAGCCGCCGCAGGUCCAUUUCACUUACCCUUGUGGAUAACGUGGCUCGUUUUGAAGUUGCUUUUGUGCUAGCACAAUCUAACUAGCUAGGUUAAGCUAUACUCUUUGUUUACUUAGUGGUGUAAAUCUGUAAAGAAAGUCAAUACUUAGUUUUAGUCGAGCUUUGUGUAAAAUAUGGAAAGGAAGAGUGGAAUGAUACUGGAUGAACAUGUUCUGAAAGCUAAUGAUCGCAAGAGGAAACAUGAGUCGUCUGUGAAGAGUACUGGCACAGAUUAUUUUGCUGAGGUCUCUCAGCAUGCUGAUGGUUCUGCUGUCCUUAAGAAGUCUAAAAUGACCUCCUCUGCUGGUGAUAUUCUGGAGUGCUAUAAGAACUUCAAGACAAGCGGUUUGCCCAUGCGGGUGCUUUGUUACCACCAGGGUAAAUGGAGGGACUUUCCAGAGCAUGUUGUGAAUCUGGUACAGCAGGACUUCCAGUUGAAGAGGCCAAUUACUAAUGCUGUAUUGAAGAACCAGCAAGUCCUGUUGGACUUUAUGCACAUGGUCUGCAUUGAUUCUUCCAUGACCACAAACAAGCCAAUAGCAUGGAUUGAUGUUCAUGGUAACCGCUUUUUUCCAGAGUUAUGUGCUGGACUGGUAGCAUCUAAACCAUCUCAGCAUGGGAAAAGUGACCCCAGUGGUAAAUCUGAAGCUGGUGAGUGUGCUGGGAAUUUGAUUUUGACAGCUGGAGCUGAAAGCUCGAGUUCAGAUUCUGUUGAUGCAGUACUCCCUCAUGCUAAGAAGGUUAAUAACAUACUGGAGGAAGAACACGAGGUACAUAAUUAUGCUGCUGUUGAAAAUAAAGCUGGUCCUGCAAUCUGUUUGGAUGAACCUGCUAGUGGAAACAUACAUGCUGCUACUUGUAAGCAGAAAAUUGGCCAACCUGUUGAUUCAGCUGUGCGCAAAUUAUUACUUGAAGGGGCAGGCCAACCUUUUAGUGAAGAAAAUAUUAUUGGCAUCUACAGAACUCCACUGGUAGAUCAGCAUGGGCGGGCUCGCUUCAAUCUUUUCCAGAAGGAACUUGAAGCCACCAAAAUGCGUCGUGGGAACGCAAAUGUGCGCUACGCAUGGCUACCUUGUUCCAAGGAUACCAUGGAGGAGAUGAUGAUGCGUGGUGUUCUGGAAGUUACAAAACCCAUGCUGGGGCCAAUGUAUGGCAUUGGUACACAUCUUGCUCCAGCGAACUGCGCCAAAACUUGUGCUAGCUACUCAGAUAUUGACGAAAAUGGCAUCAUGAGGAUGAUGCUGUGCCGUGUCAUAAUGGGGAAUGUUGAGGUUGUACUUCCUGGAUCAAAGCAAUUCCAGCCAACUAAUGGAACAUUUGAUAGUGGCGUGGAUGAUCUUCAAAAGCCAAAGCACUAUGUCAUAUGGGAUGCUAAUGUGCAUAGACACAUCUAUGCUGAAUAUGCUGUUGUUAUCAAAGCACCUUCCAUGACCAAUGAAUACUUGGCUGGAGAAGAUACUGCAUCCAACGUAUCUGAGAUAAGAAAUUCUGGUUCAGCAGAAAGUGUAAUCAAGGACGAUAGUUCCGAAACCUUGGCAUCCCCAGCUGAUAAACAACAAGCACCCAGGUUUGGGCGUGCUCCAACUAGAAGGCCUCCUACUUCACCCUGGAUGCCCCUCCCAAUGCUUUUCGCUGCCAUCUCCACAAAAGUUCCUCGUUCUGACAUGGACGUAAUCCAUGGACACUAUGAAGAAUUCAAGAGGAGAAAGAUAAGCAGGCCCGAGUUUGUGAGACGGCUAAGACAGAUCGUCGGCGACAAGCUGCUGGUUUCUACAGUAGUGAGGCUGCAACCUAAGGUAGUGGCACCCAUGGCAGGUGCUGAAGUGCUACCAAGAGGAGCACCCGGCACGGGAGGGAGCAGCACCUCCUGAAGUAGCAGUUCGUCGAGAUAACAGCUCGUGGAGCCGCUCCUAGCGGAGAGAGGGAGAGCAUAAGGGAAGCCAUUAGUUAUGUGUCAGUUGGUUAUAGACAAGACUAGUCAGUAAUCUGUGAGCAACCUGUUAAGUUGGUGUAGCUUUCCAUCUGGUUGGUCUCUUGGCGUCAGUCGGUAACUGGAAAAAACUCUGUUGUAGCAGCUGCUGUUCUGUGCAAAUCUGUUUGCAGCUUGUACUGUGCUGUACUUGGUAAAUUUAUUGUCUUAAUUUUGAGCUGAUGAACCUAGCAUAGAAUAUGUAGACUUCACCUGAUGUUGAGUUUCAGCUGGCUCUAGAUUUUCUCUCUUUUGCUGACGAGCCUAGCAUAGAAUUGAUAGAAGUGAUGGUCAGCUUGAGUUGGCUUGCUUCUUCGGCUCCGGUUGUGUUCGACGAAACAUGGUGAAGUUUUGGGAAGACAAAAUCCAGAGAUUUCUUGUUUGAGCAUGCUGUACACUCUGUCUACUUAAUUUACCCUUGCUAGCCCUGAUUUAUUUAUGGACUCUUUCUGAACAGAAAUGGAAAGAGAUGCCAGCGGUUUUUCGUAGUAGCAGAUGAUGCCUUGGUGAGUUGUUAGGGAGUUGGAACAAGAUACCUUGGUGGCAUGGCAUCUUCAAUCCAAA
rnacentral:rRNA from 1 species